GUGAAUUUUAGGGCGCUCAGCUUCGCGCUGAGGCCUGACCUCCACUCUCCAACACUGUGCACUAUUUGGCUUGAUGAACUUUGCGAAGCGCAAGCUGAGCGGACGAAUUCAAGCGGCUUCAUUUUAAACACUAGUCAAAGAAUGUAACCAAAAACAAAACUAAAAA
rnacentral:misc_RNA from 1 species